UAAUAGAAUAAUAAUAGAAUAAUAAUAUAAUGAUAUAAUAAUAAUAGAAAAAUAUAAUAUAAUGAUAUAAAAUAUAUUAAUAGGAUAAUAUAAUAAUGGGAUAUAAUAAUAGUAACAGAAUAUGAUGAUAAUAAUAUGGCAAUAGAAUAAUAGUAUAAAAUAAUCAGUUUCAUGGCAUAGGAUAGGAAUAAGGAUGAGAGGAGAAUCCCAAUGCGUCCUGUACCUUUAAGAAACUGAAAAAGCAGGACGAGUGGAAAGCCCUCUUCCUUCCCUCCCUCCUUCCCUUGCCCUGGCUCCAGGAGCCAAUCAGAAGCCUUGGGGGCGAAGCGAGCAUGGCCAGGAAGCAUGGCCUUGUCUCCGGAGGAAGAAACAGCAGCGCAGCAGCAGCCACGGAGGCUGGAGGGCAGGCAAGGCAAGGCCAGCAAGCACUUUCUCUCCCUCCCUCCCUCCCUCCGGAAGUAUCUCUGUACCAAUGAACUUAUUUGAAUUCUCCUACCAGUUUUUUUACACUCACCACUCUACUCCCCUUGCUUUCAGCUUGUACUGAUCUUCUUGAGCUGCUCCAAGAAAGACUUCCAGUCAGGUGGUGUCAGAGGUAGCUUUAUUUGGAAAUGAUUCCAAAACCUUUAAAAUAUGUAAAAAUGAAAUACGGUUAAACACAGAAGGACAGCAAUGGCUAAAUGCAACUUGGAUUAAUAAGGCUGCCAUUGGUUUAUUCAAUUAUAUUGUUUUGAAAUGAAAGGUUUGAGAUAAUGCAUUUAUAUACCGCUGGGAAAUUUAUGAAGAAAAUUUGCAUAUUCCCCUAAGUAACACCAAAAUUUGGUAUUUUGACUUCAGCUGAAAACAUAAGAGUAAAGUGUUUUCAAAAGACAAAAAAAAUCUGAAGGAAAAGGGCUGCCUCAUACGGAACAAGCUGGCAAGGUUUUGGAAAUGAUGGAUGACCCACCGUUUUCCCCCCACAUGCUAUACUUUUAAGAGAUUUGGCUCCUUUUGCAUUUUGAAUAUUAGGUAAAGGUAAAGGUUUUCCCCUGACAUUAAGUCUAGUCGUGUUCGACUCUAGGGGUUGGUGCUCAUCUCCAUUUCUAAGCCAAAGAGCUGGCAUUGUCUGUAGACCCCUCCAGGGUCAUGUGACCGGCAUGACUACAUGCCAUUACCUUCCUGCUGGAGCAGUACCUAUUGAUCUACUCAUAUUUGCAUGUUUUCAAACUGCUAGGUUAGUAGAAGCUGGGGCUAACAGCAUGAGCUCACCCUGCUCCCCGGAUUCAAACUGCCGACCUUUUGGUCAGCAAGUUCCAUAGCUCAGUGGUUUAACCCACUAUGCCACCAUGGCCUCCGGGUAUAAAAACAAUUAUAUUUUAAUACAGUUGUUAUGAAUUCUAAUUGUUACGAUUGGUUACAAAAAUUGUUGCAAUACAGGUUUUUAGUCAUAAGAUGACUGGUUUCAUAUACAGUCUACCCUCCACUUUCAUGGGAAUUAGAGGAGCAGGAUCCCUACAUACAUGGAAAAACCAAGAAUAAAUAAAUCCUACCAAGACAAGUGGUAGUCCUAUAACAGUAGUGAAGGCAAGCCUCAACUGACAGGUUUCUCUUCUUCAUAUCCUUCAUAUUCACUGUGACGGCGCGAGUGGCGCCAUCUAUAUGUUGAACUAUAAGUUGCAAGGUUUGAAUUGUUGUAUCAUGCCUGAUUUUGCCCUUACCCUGUAAAUGUAGUUGGAUUGGUUAUUUAUAUCUGUCAAUCAAUGUUGUUUGUACCUGUUAUAUUGCUUACUCAGCAAAACUGUUUGGCUCCACCUCUUCCUGGAGUAGGACUGUGUUUCCUCCUUUUCAUUCCACCAGCAAGCUCUCUACCAGAUGGACGUGAGAGAGAGACUUGGCACUAAAAGCCCUUCAAAAGUUACCUCUCAGCAUCAAUUCUGAGGUUCUUACCCUUGGGACUCACACUUCAUGUUCAGGGCCAACCUGAACAACGUUGAGGAGUCUCAAGCGCCUUCACAUCAGUCCUUUGGCAACAGAGGAAGACUCUUGUCUUCAGAUAUAGGACAUUGGACUGAGGCUGAGUUUGCUCCGGCAUUCACAGCCAGAGAAAGAGGGAUCUAGAAGGCUCCACGGACUUAAACAAUCAAAGACUGUAAUGUAUAUUUUCUUUUACCCCCUUUGUGAACAAUAAACCCAGUUUUUGAGUUAUCUACAGUGUUUGGUCCUUGGGAGUUCCAGUUUCCCUAAAGGAGGGCAAGAAGCAAUCCCCUGGAGAAAGAUGUCACGUCCAUGCCUCUUUCACUAAGAGUACAGCCCCAGGCGCGACGGCACAUUCACCACAAUAGAUGAAUAAUCCACACAGCCAUGCUUCCUGCUCUUCUCUCAGCCAAGGAAUAGAAUGGAGACUUUUUCUCUCUCUCACUGAGAGUACAUUUAUACUUUUAAAGUAAUGCAGUUCAGUACCAUGUUAACUGCCAUGGAUCAAUGGUAUGGAAUCUGAGAAAGGUGCUACAUCAAAUUACAACUGCAAUGUGUUGUCGAAGGCUUUCAUGGCUGGAAUUACUGGGAUGCUGUGAGUUUUCUGGGCUGUGUGGCCAUGUUCCUGAAGCAUUCUCUCCUGACGUUUCGCCUGCAUCUAUGGCAGGCAUCCUCAGAGGAUGUGCUGGAAACUAGUCAAGUGGGGUUUAUAUAUCUGUGGAAUAUUCAGGGUAGGAGAAAGAACUCCUGUAUGUUGUAGGCAGGUGUAAAUGUUUCAAUUGGCCACCGUGAUUAGCAUUGAAUAACCUUUCAGUUUAAAGGUCUGACUGUUUACUGCCUGAAGGAAUCCUUGUGGGAGGUGUUAGCUGGCCCUGAUUGAUUCAUGUCUGGAAUUCCCCAGUUUUCAAACUGUUAUUCUUUAUUUACUGUUCUGAUUUUAGAGAUUUUUAAAUACUGGUAGCCAGAUUUUGUUAAUUUUCAUAAUUUCCUUCUUUCUGUUGAAAUUGUCCACAUUCUUAUGGAUUUCAAUGGCUUCUCUGUGUAUUCUGUGUACAACUGCAAUGAUUCUAUAGCAUUUAAUCAUGGCAGUUAAAAUGGUGUCAAACUGCACUCACUCUAUAGUGUAGAUGUACCCUGAGAGAGUGUUUUGGCCUUCAACUCCCAGAAAUCCUAACAGCUGGUAAACUGGCUGGUAUUUCUGGGAGUUGUAGACCAAAACACCUGGAGAUCCACAGGUUGAGGACCACUGCUCUACAAGAAUGUUAAACUGAGGUUAAUUAGAGAAAGAGAAGUGGGGGCAAGUGGAAGGAAGAGAGAUUGCAGAUGGAGCAACAUCAGUUCCUCUUUACCUUCUUCCUCACUCGCCCCAGCCUUCUUCUAGCUGGCCUUGAUUUAACAUCAUUGGUGGGGCAGAAGUGGCAGAGAGUUGUGCAACCUGUGAGCUGUGGUGGGUGGCUACAGGAAUGUGCAUGGGCAGAUCGAGGCAAACAAAGUAAGCCGGGCAGGUAAGGAGCAAGCAGGUGAAAAGCAGGCAGAAGCCACCUUAGUGGUGGACUGCAAGCACCAUCAGCUGGAGGGGAUUGUUGGCAGCAAAUAAGAUGGAGAGGAAAAGGAAGGUGAAAAUAAAAAUGACAACACUGCGGAGAUUUGUGUAGCAAUAUUGUUGUCCUAGAAAAUGGAGUUGGGCAAGCUUGGAAAGACAAAUAAACAAAUCUGCAAAACUGAA